rnacentral:rRNA from 1 species
CCUACGGGAGGCAGCAGUGGGGAAUAUUGGGCAAUGGAGGAAACUCUGACCCAGCGACGCCGCGUGAGGGAUGAAGGCCUUCGGGUUGUAAACCUCUUUCAGUAGGGAAGAAGCGAAAGUGACGGUACCUACAGAAGAAGCACCGGCUAACUAUGUGCCAGCAGCCGCGGUAAUACAUAGGGUGCAAGCGUUGUCCGGAAUUAUUGGGCGUAAAGAGCUCGUAGGUGGUUCGAUACGUCGGAUGUGAAAAUCAGGGGCUCAACCCCUGACCUGCAUCCGAUACGGUCGAGCUAGAGUUUGGUAGGGAGACUGGAAUUCCUGGUGUAGCGGUGGAAUGCGCAGAUAUCAGGAGGAACACCGAUGGCGAAGGCAGGUCUCUGGGCCAAUACUGGCACUGAGGAGCGAAAGCGUGGGGAGCGAACAGGAUUAGAUACCCUGGUAGUCCACGCCGUAAACGGUGGGCGCUAGUUGUGCGAACCUUCCACGGUUUGUGCGACGCAGCUACGCAUAGCGCCCGCCGUCGGGAGGUACGANCGCGAGAAUAAACUACAAUAGAAGUAGACGGCGUGAGACGUCGCCGACGGACGACGACGAGGGAGGAGG